rnacentral:rRNA from 1 species
CAGUCGCCGCGGGAAUACGUAGGGUGCAAGCGUUAAUCGGAAUUACUGGGCGUAAAGCGUGCGCAGGCGGUUUGUUAAGACAGAUGUGAAAUCCCCGGGCUCAACCUGGGAACUGCAUUUGUGACUGGCAAGCUAGAGUAUGGCAGAGGGGGGUGGAAUUCCGCGUGUAGCAGUGAAAUGCGUAGAUAUGCGGAGGAACACCGAUGGCGAAGGCAGCCCCCUGGGCCAAUACUGACGCUCAUGCACGAAAGCGUGGGGAGCAAACAGGAUUAGAUACCCGCGUAGUCCCUGUCUCUUAUAC